ACUCUUUCAACCCGACCGGUUUCUUGUUAGAUCGGAUGGUGUUUGGAUUUUGAGUGUUGCUGGUCUUCGGACGAAGCUCAUUCGUAAUACAUUAGCAUCUCAAUUUCGAACUUCGGAUUGACUCAGCGUAAUAGACUAUUCGCUGAGGACACCUCACGGUGGCCGAAAUAGAAGACAGUUAGAAGCUCCUAAUCAGAUGUUAGUCAAGUUUUAG
rnacentral:misc_RNA from 1 species